AGAAAUUGGGUCACCAAAUAGCAGUAGAACAUUGGGUGAUGAAGAUUCGAAAGAUUCGAAGGGUAUUGAGGGGGAAUUAGGGCAACAAGAAGAGGUAGAAACUGAUGCACAGCAGGUGUUUGAUAAAAUGCCUGAGAGAGGCAAAUUCAUUGUGAAAAAACAGACUGCAUGGGAGAAGCCUGAAAAAGCAGGUUGGGUCAAUCAAUUCAAGGACAACAGGGACAUCACAAAGGGUAUGCAUAUCAAAGCAAUACCAACAGAUGGUGAUGAGGUGGUUUUCCCCACAUCAGCAGUGCCCAAAAUAGAAACCAUAUGGGGCCAUUGCUGCCUAGGAUUCUUUUCAGGAAAGUACCCCGGGAAAGAGAUUGUUGAUGAUGUGUGCAGUCAGUGGGGUGUAAACUUCAUUUCUCAGCCACAUGCAACAGGGUGGAUCAUCUUCAAAUUUGAAACUGAGGAAGCAAAGCACACAGUGGUGACCAAUGGGCCAUACACAAAGGAUGGUAGGCAGAUACACAUGAGAGAGAUCCCUCCUCACUUCAAUUUUGAAACAAAAGAGAUGACCAUUGUACCUGUGUGGAUCAAAUUGAAGAACUGGCCUAUGGAAUUAUGGAAUGAAGAAGCCAUAGGCAUCUUCACCUCAAAAAUUGGCAAUCCAGUGUGCACAGAUGGCAUCACUAACACUCUAAGCAGAGCCUCAUAUGCAAGGGUGCUGGUGCAUGUUGAUGCAGCAAAACCACUCAGAAAAGUGAUACCUAUGGUGUUUCCUAAUGGUGAUAGGAUUGAACAGGAAAUUAUCUAUGAAUUCACCCCAAAAUACUGCCAUCACUGUAAAACACUAACACACAACACAGAAGAGUGCUUCAUUCUGGCCAAAAUGGCAAAUUUGACCCCUACAAAAGCAAAAACUCCAAGGAAGCAAGCAAAUACUCCCAGAAGAGAAGCUGGUGGGGGGGAUGGCCAAAGGACCAAGGCAGCAAGUCAUCUCUACAGUGCAGCAGCAGGACAAGAAGCAGGACAAGAUUCAAGACCUGGUGCACACACAUAACACAGGCUGAACAUGAUCCUGAUCCAUCACUAAGAUCAAUCAGUGAAAAGAAGAACAAAAGAGCAGCUGAUGUGGCCACAGAAGAUACAGAUGCAGAGGCAGAAGAGUCAGGGGCUGAGCAAUCAGUAAUGACUAAAAAGGGACCAGAAAAAGAAGAUAAACAGAGCAAAGGAAAGGGUGUUGCUGUUGAUGAGACAGAGGAAGGAUUUACUACUGUAAAUCACAAGAAGAAGCCCCCAAAACACCCCCCUUCUCCACAUCUGAAGAACAAAUACCUAGGACCAUAUGCACAUCCCAAGAAACAAGGCAGAAAUGCAGGAAAAAAUGAAGAAAAACAGGACAAAGGAGAAGAAGUGAGCAACUUUAAAAAACCAGAAGCUAGAAGGGGGCUGUUCCCUUCAACUUCUAAAUGAUAAUCAUCCAUUGGAAUGUGAGGGGAUUUAACAGGCCCCUCAAACAGAAUGUAGUCAGAAGCUACAUUCUGCAGAAUAAAAUAGAUGUGAUGGGAAUUUUGGAGAUGAAAGUGAAGACACAACAGCAAAUUAAUACACUAAUUCAAAACAGAUUUAGUGGCAUGGCAGCUGUGCAUAAUUUGGAUAUGCAUCAAGGAGGUAGAAUCCUUAUUUUGUGGAACACAGAUACAGUGGAUCUUGAAGUGAAGAGCAGCCAUGCACAAGCAAUACAUUGCUUGAUCAAGUGCAAGGUCACAGGACAACAAUUUCAUUGCACUAUGGUGUAUGGGCUGUAUUCAGUUAGAAGUAGAAGGGAGCUAUGGAGUUCACUUGAAGAGUAUGGAGAGGGGAUGACAGAGCCUUGGCUAGUAAUGGGGGACUUCAACUGUGUGAUGAGUCCAGAAGAGAAGACAGGUGGCAAUAUACCUACUGCAUAUGAGCUAAAAGACUGUACAGAAACAGUUCUGGGGCUAGGAUUGGAGGAUAUACCUUUCACAGGAAGCAUGUUGACCUGGUCAAACUCAGCUGUGGACAACACAAUUUGGAGUAAAUUAGAUAGAGCUAUGGUGAAUUGUGCAUGGUAUGAUCAGCUACCAGUAACAAAGGCUGAGUUCCUUGCUCCUGGUGCUAUAUCAGACCACUCACCUUGCUUGGUCACAAUUCAUAGAGAAAGCAGUAGAGGGCAGACUCAAUUCAAAUUUUUCAACAUGUGGGCUAAACAUGAAGAUUUCAACAAUAUUGUGCAAGACAACUGGAAAUUUGAAGGGUAUGGUACUGAGCAAUACAGGCUAUGUAAGUUGCUAAAGGGCCUGAAAAGACCACUAAAGGCACUUAAUACCUCUGCAUUCAGUCACAUAUCAGCUAGAGCAGAGAGGGCAGUAAAGGAAGUGGAAGCACUGCAGACUCAACUUCAAUCUGACCUGGAUAAUCAGGGGCUAAAAGAGAGCAUUAAACAGAAAAAGAAGAAUGCUAACUACCUACUUGAAGCUGAGAGGCAGUUUUUGACUCAAAAAGCUAAAUGCAACUAUGCCUUGCAUGCAGACAAAACAAACAAGUUUUUUCACAGCAUUGUAAAGAGAAGAGGCAAGAAGAACUUUAUAGCUUCUGUGUACAAAGAAAAUGGGCAGAAGACUGAAUCAGAAGAUGAGAUGGUCACUGAAUUUCUCAAUUUUUAUAAAGACCUGCUAGGCACAGAAGAGAAUUGUGCAGCUCUAGACAAAUCAGUUGUGGAGGCAGGACUAUUACUGAAUGAAGAUGAAGGGCAAGAGUUGAUUGCUGAGGUUACAGAAGCAGAAAUUAGAGAUGCACUUCAGGGUAUAGGGGAUGAGAAGUCACCAGGACCAGAUGGUUUCAACUCACACUUCUACAAAAAAGCCUGGUGCACAGUGGGAAAAGAUGUGGUCAGUGCAGUCCAGGAGUUCUUCAGAAAUGGGAAGCUGCUGAAGCAAAUUAAUCACACUUUGCUUGCACUAAUACCUAAAACAGAAACAUCAUCAAGAGUGGCUGAAUUCAGACCCAUAGCAUGCUGCAAUAUCAGCUACAAACUGAUUUCAAAAGUACUUGCUGCAAGACUAGGAAGAACACUUGAUAAAAUUGUGGAUAAGGCUCAAUCAGCCUUUGUUGAGGGUAGGCUGAUAAAUGACAAUAUUCACUUAGCUGAGGCUAUGGUGAGGCAGUAUGAAAGAGCAAGGUCCACACCUAGAUGCCUGGUCAAAGUUGACUUGAGGAAGGCAUAUGACUCACUUAAUUGGCAGUUUUUGAGAGAAAUGCUACUAGCUCUCAAUUAUCCACAGAUCUUUGUCAAGUGGAUUAUGGAGUGUGUUAGUACUACCUCAUAUUCACUGUCACUGAAUGGAAAAGCACAUGGGCUGUUUGAAGGAAGAAAAGGGUUGAGACAGGGGGACCCCUUAUCACCUAUGCUUUUUGUGUUGGGGCUUGAGUAUUUUUCAAGAUAUCUGGGCAAAAAAGCUAGAGAUGGGGAAUUUAACUACCAUGCCAAAUGUGAUGCAAAGCAGAUCACUCACCUAGCAUUUGCAGAUGACUUGAUGCUGCUAUGUAGGGCAGAUCAGUGGUCACUUCAGGUGCUAAAAGAUAGUUUGACAGAACUGGGUGAAAAAACAGGGCUGAGGGCUAGCAUUUUAAAGUCAAAUGUGUAUUUGGCUGGUGUUACAGAGGCAGAAGCAGUUGAUCUGGCAGCCAUUUUGGAAGUCCCAAGAGGAUCUUUCCCUUUUAGAUACUUGGGCAUCCCUUUAGCAUCAACAAAGCUAAAGGUGAGUCAGUACUCCCCCCUGCUUGAUAAGAUCAAAGGGCUGAUACAGCAGUGGGCAGGAUCUCACCUAUCAUAUGCAGGUAGAUUGGAGCUGAUAAGUACAGUCAUACAGGGGCUUGUGUGCUAUUGGCUAGGUAUUUUCAAAUUACCUAAAGAAGUGAUACACAAGAUUGAAAGGAUGUGUAGUAUUUACCUGUGGCAGUCUAGAAUUGGUGCAGUGGAGUGGAAAGAGGCAUGCUUUCCAAAAUCUGAGGGGGGCUUGGGGGUCAGAGAUUUAGAAGAAUGGAACUCUGCAAUGCUCAUGAAAGAGGUGUGGAACAUACACUCAAAAAAGGACUCAUUAUGGAUUCAGUGGCUGCAUACCUACUACUUCACAACUGAGGGAUUCUGGGAGUGGCAGCCAAAGAGGGAUUCAAAUCCUCUCUUAAAAGCUAUAACUAGCAUCAGAAAUCAGCUAGUGGAGAGGGCAGGGUCAGUGGAUUCUGCUGUGGUUUUGUUAGAAGAUUGGGCAAAAGGAGGCAGAUUUAGCACUAAAAAGGCCUUUGAGUGGUUGAGAAAGAAAAAAGAACCUCAGUGGUGGGGCAAGCUGAUCUGGAAGCACUUUUUACCCCCUAAAUAUUCAUUCAACUUGUGGAUGUGUAUUAAGGAGAAGUUAAGGACCAGAAACAGAUUGGCCUUUAUGCUAGCUAACACAAAAUGUCCUCUGUGUAAUGCAGUUGAGGACAGUGUACAGCACCUAUUUUUCCAGUGCCCUGCUACUCAGGAAAUUUGGAAUCAGAUCAGAACUUGGAUGGGGAUAAGAAGAGCUCAAGGCUCUUUAAUCCUGGCUUUGAAAGAAGAAAAGAAGAAGGGGAGAGGCAAGACAAUUGGCAGUAAAGGCAGGCUACUCACAAUAGCCUGCACCACCUACUUAACUUGGAAGGCUAGAAACAGACUUGUUUUUGAAGGGGUGCAGUGGCAAGCUGAAGAGGUCAGAAACAGCAUCAAAUUCUUGGUGUAUAGGCAUAUGUUUGGCCUAUUCCCUUGGUUAGUACAGCCUGGCCAACAAAUAUUUGGCCCACAAUGAAGCUAUAAGCUAUAUUUGUGAGGGCUGUUUUGGGAAAAAAAAAUAUAUAUAUAUAUAUAUAAAAAGAAAAAAAAAAAAAGAAAAAAAAAAAACAGAGUAAUGUGAAAAACAGGUGGUAGAAAAAGAAUAUAAACCCCUGUACAGGGUGGUAAAAAUAAUAAAAACCCC
rnacentral:lncRNA from 1 species